GAAGGGUGCAAGCGUUACUCGGAAUUACUGGGCGUAAAGCGUGCGUAGGUGGUUCGUUAAGUCUGAUGUGAAAGCCCUGGGCUCAACCUGGGAAUGGCAUUGGAAACUGGCGACCUAGAGUGCGGUAGAGGGUAGUGGAAUUCCCGGUGUAGCAGUGAAAUGCGUAGAGAUCGGGAGGAACAUCCGUGGCGAAGGCGACUACCUGGACCAGCACUGACACUGAGGCACGAAAGCGUGGGGAGCAAACAGGAUUAGAUACCCUGGUAGUCCACGCCCUAAACGAUGCAAACUGGAUGUUGGGUGCAACUAGGCACUCAGUAUCGAAGCUAACGCGUUAAGUUCGCCGCCUGGGGAGUACGGUCGCAAGACUG
rnacentral:rRNA from 1 species